CCUACGUGAGGCUGCAGUGGGGAAUAUUGGGCAAUGGGCGCAAGCCUGACCCAGCAACGCCGCGUGAAGGAAGAAGGCUUUCGGGUUGUAAACUUCUUUUCUCAGGGACGAAGCAAGUGACGGUACCUGAGGAAUAAACCACGGCUAACUACGUGCCAGCAGCCGCGGUAAUACGUAGGUGGCAAGCGUUAUCCGGAUUUACUGGGUGUAAAGGGCGUGUAGGCGGGAAAGCAAGUCAGAUGUGAAAACCAUGGGCUCAACCUGUGGCCUGCAUUUGAAACUGUUUUUCUUGAGUACUGGAGAGGCAGACGGAAUUCCUAGUGUAGCGGUGAAAUGCGUAGAUAUUAGGAGGAACACCAGUGGCGAAGGCGGUCUGCUGGACAGCAACUGACGCUGAGGCGCGAAAGCGUGGGGAGCAAACAGGAUUAGAUACCCUAGUAGUC
rnacentral:rRNA from 1 species